rnacentral:rRNA from 1 species
ACGGGUGAGUAACGCGUAGGAAUAUGCCUUAAGGGGUGGGAUAACUUGGGGAAACUCAAGCUAAUACCGCAUAAGCUCUGAGGAGUAAAGCUGGGGACCGUAAGGCCUGGCGCUUUAAGAAUAGCCUGCGUCCGAUUAGCUAGUUGGUGGGGUAAAGGCCUACCAAGGCGACGAUCGGUAGCUGGUCUGAGAGGAUGGCCAGCCACACUGGGACUGAGACACGGCCCAGACUCCUACGGGAGGCAGCAGUGGGGAAUAUUGGACAAUGGGGGGAACCCUGAUCCAGCAAUGCCGCGUGUGUGAAGAAGGCCUGAGGGUUGUAAAGCACUUUCGGUGGGGAGGAGGAUUGACUGGUUAAGAGCUGGUUAAUUGGACGUUACCUACAGAAGAAGCACCGGCUAACUCCGUGCCAGCAGCCGCGGUAAUACGGAGGGUGCGAGCGUUAAUCGGAAUUACUGGGCGUAAAGGGUGCGUAGGUGGUUAUUUAAGUUAUCUGUGAAAUUCCUGGGCUCAACCUGGGCGGGUCAGAUAAGACUGGAUGACUGGAGUAUAGGAGAGGGUAGUGGAAUUUCCGGUGU